AACAAAUGCAUUAAAAAUCUAUGCUGUUCAAACUCUUCUCAAAAAUAGAGGCACAAUCCAUUUCGUAUCCUUGAACGUCGCUCAAUUUUGAAAUAACAACCAUACGGCAAUUCUCCAUCAGACUUUUUAACCGUAUAGUAUCUGUAGUAGAAAGAUUUCCCGAUUGUAUGAGCCUUAAGCAAAGAGAAUCCAGUAGGGAA